rnacentral:rRNA from 1 species
AGCGAACGCUGGCGGCAGGCCUAAUACAUGCAAGUCGAACGAAGCCUUCGGGCUUAGUGGCGGACGGGUGAGUAACACGUGGGAACGUACCCUUUGGUUCGGAACAACUCAGGGAAACUUGAGCUAAUACCGAAUGAGCCCCCAUCCUUGAACAAGAUGGGUGGGAAAGAUUUAUCGCCAUUGGAGCGGCCCGCGUCUGAUUAGCUAGUUGGUGGGGUAAAGGCCCACCAAGGCUACGAUCAGAGCUGGUCUGAGAGGAUGAUCAGCCACACUGGGACUGAGACACGGCCCAGACUCCUACGGGAGGCAGCAGUAGGGAAUCUUGCGCAAUGGGCGAAAGCCUGACGCAGCCAUGCCGCGUGAAUGAUGAAGGUCUUAGGAUUGUAAAAUUCUUUCAGCGGGGACGAUAAUGACGGUACCCGCAGAAGAACGCCCCGGCUAACUUCGUGACAGC